rnacentral:rRNA from 1 species
UGGCGGCGUGCCUAAUACAUGCAAGUCGAGCGGAAUGAUGAAGAAGCUUGCUUCUUCUGAUUUUAGCGGCGGACGGGUGAGUAACACGUGGGCAACCUACCUUGUAGAUUGGGAUAACUCCGGGAAACCGGGGCUAAUACCGAAUAAACCAUUUUGCUUCAUGGCAAGAUGUUGAAAGGCGGCUUCGGCUGUCACUACUAGAUGGGCCCGCGGCGUAUUAGCUAGUUGGUAGGGUAAUGGCCUACCAAGGCGACGAUACGUAGCCGACCUGAGAGGGUGAUCGGCCACACUGGGACUGAGACACGGCCCAGACUCCUACGGGAGGCAGCAGUAGGGCAUCUUCCACAAUGGACGAAAGUCUGAUGGGGCAACGCCGCGUGAGUGAAGAAGGUUUUCGGAUCGUAAAACUCUGUUGUAAGGGAAGAACACGUACGAGAGUAACUGCUCGUACCUUGACGGUACCUUAUUAGAAAGCCACGGCUAACUACGUGCCAGCAGCCGCGGUAAUACGUAGGUGGCAAGCGUUGUCCGGAAUUAUUGGGCGUAAAGCGCGCGCAGGCGGUUCUUUAAGUCUGAUGUGAA